AGCAGCCGCGGUAAUUCCAGCUCCAAUAGCGUAUAUUAAAGUUGCUGCAGUUAAAAAGCUCGUAGUUGAAUUUCGGGACCAUCAUGUCGGUCGUGCCUCGGUACGUACUGGCAUCGUUGGUUUCUCCCUUCUGACGAACCAUGAUGUCAUUUAUUUGGUGUCGUGGGAAAUCAGGACUGUUACUUUGAAAAAAUUAGAGUGUUUAAAGCAGGCUCACGCUUGAAUACAUUAGCAUGGAAUAGUGAAAUAGGACGUUUAAUUCUAUUUUGUUGGUUUCUAGGAUUGACGUAAUGAUUAAUAGGGAUAGUUGGGGGCAUUAGUAUUCAAUUGUCAGAGGUGAAAUUCUUGGAUUUAUUGAAGACUAACUACUGCGAAAGCAUUUGCCAAGGAUGUUUUCAUUAAUCAAGAACGAAAGUUAGGGGAUCGAAGACGAUCAGAUACCGUCGUAGUCUUAACCAUAAACUAUGCCGACUAGGGAUCGGAUGAUGUUAAUUUUUUAAUGACUCA
rnacentral:rRNA from 1 species